UUUUUACCGAGUAAGGAGGAAAGGGAAGGAAGAGACAGAGUGCGAGAAAAGUGGGGGGCGUGAAAUGGAAAGGACUCUGCAAAAUAUUCAAAAUAUAGAAACGCGAAAGAAACCUAGGGAUAAGGGGUUCAUUGCACCACCUGACAGUUUAAUCCAACUACAAUAUGGAGAUGCAGACACCACAAAUUAGAAAAGUGUAUGAGCGAAAAUCUGGAAUU